rnacentral:rRNA from 1 species
AGUCCUCGCUUUUCCACGACCCGUAAAGGUGGUCGUAGAAUAAGUGCUGGGCAAGACCGGUGCCAGCCGCCGCGGUAAUACCGGCAGCACAAGUGAUGACCGCUAUUAUUGGGCCUAAAGCGUCCGUAGCUGGCCACGCAAGUCUAUCGGGAAAUCCGCGCGCUUAACGCGCGGGCGUCCGGUGGAAACUGCGUGGCUUGGGACCGGAAGACCAGAGGGGUACGUCCGGGGUAGGAGUGAAAUCCCGUAAUCCUGGACGGACCACCGGUGGCGAAAGCGCCUCUGGAAGACGGAUCCGACGGUGAGGGACGAAAGCUCGGGUCACGAACCGGAUUAGAUACCCGGGUAGUCCGAGCUGUAAACGAUGUCUGCUAGGUGUGGCACAGGCUACGAGCCUGUGCUGUGCCGUAGGGAAGCCGUGAAGCAGACCGCCUGGGAAGUACGUCCGCAAGGAUGAAACUUAAAGGAAUUGGCGGGGGAGCACUACAACCGGAGGAGCCUGCGGUUUAAUUGGACUCAACGCCGGACAUCUCACCAGCAUCGACAAUGUGCAGUGAACGUCAGGUUGAUGACCUUACUGGAGCCAUUGAGAGGAGGUGCAUGGCCGCCGUCAGCUCGUACCGUGAGGCGUCCUGUUAAGUCAGGCAACGAGCGAGACCCGCACUCCUAAUUGCCAGCAACACCCUCGUGGUGGUUGGGUACAUUAGGAGGACUGCCAGUGCCAAACUGGAGGAAGGAACGGGCAACGGUAGGUCAGUAUGCCCCGAAUGUGCUGGGCGACACGCGGGCUACAAUGGCCGAGACAGUGGGAUGCAACCCCGAAAGGGGACGCUAAUCUCCGAAACUCGGUCGUAGUUCGGAUUGAGGGCUGAAACUCGCCCUCAUGAAGCUGGAUUCGGUAGUAAUCGCGCCUCAGAAGGGCGCGGUGAAUACGUCCCUGCUCCUUGCACAC